GUCUAGGACCUCUGGGUGGUCGCGCUGAUUCCCGGCCAACGCACCAAAAAUGAAAGACCCCCGAAGGGAGACCCUCACUCAGGCCUCGGGACAGCCGCGUACCCAAGAAGACACUGAGACCA
rnacentral:pre_miRNA from 7 species